GAGGAAAGACAGUGAGAGGGGCCAGUUGCAGGGCUAAUUAUUGGGUACAUUCGGUGCACUAAAAAAUAGUAUUUCCUCUCUCACUCUCUCACAUGUGAGUUCUUUCUAUUAUAUAGAAAGUGAGUCCCACAUGAUUGUGAGAGAAGGUGUAUGUGCACCGAGUGCAUCUAAUAAUUCCUCAAAGGGUAGAGGCUAUAAGCGCGCACAUAUAUGUUUUCGCGCGCACAUAUAUGUUUUAUCUUUAGUAUUGUUGAACUUAUUUAAGGGUUAUGUUGUUAAUAGCUUGUUGGAUUCACUUUAUCAUCUGAUUUUUGU
rnacentral:misc_RNA from 1 species